CGCAGCCGCGGUAAUUCCAGCUCCAAUAGCGUAUAUUAAAGUUGUUGCAGUUAAAAAGCUCGUAGUUGAAUUUCGGGGUUCAUCCGUUGGUCGGGCUUUUUGGUCUGUACUGGCGUGAUGGAUUCCUACCUUCUGAAUAACCAGCAUGUCAUUAAUUUGGUGCGCUGGGGAAGCAGGACUGUUACCUUGAAAAAAUUAGAGUGCUUAAAGCAGGCUAUCGCCUGAAUACAUUAGCAUGGAAUAAUGAAAUAGGACGGCAUGGUUCUAUUUUGUUGGUUUCUAGGAUCACCGUAAUGAUUAAUAGGGAUAGUUGGGGGCAUUAGUAUUCAAUUGUCAGAGGUGAAAUUCUUGGAUUUAUUGAAGACUAACUACUGCGAAAGCAUUUGCCAAGGAUGUUUUCAUUAAUCAAGAACGAAAGUUAGGGGAUCGAAGACGAUCAGAUACCGUCGU
rnacentral:rRNA from 1 species